GCCUGGGACAGCUCAGUUGGAAGAACAUGGGACUCUUAAUCUUCGGGUCAUGGGUUCGAGCUCCAUGUUGGGCA